rnacentral:rRNA from 1 species
CGUCUAUAUACGUAUAGCAUAUCAAUAAGCGGAGGAAAAGAAACUAACAAGGAUUCCCUUAGUAACGGCGAGUGAAGCGGGAAGAGCUCAAAUUUGAAAUCUUCAAGGUUCUACCUUGACGAAUUGUAGUUUAAAGAAGUGUUUUCUGUUAGAGGAGUAGGCAAAAGUUCCUUGGAAUAGGGACAUCAUAGAGGGUGAGAAUCCCGUAUUUGGUUAUUCUUUCUAGCUUUGUGAUACACUUUCAAAGAGUCGGAUUGUUUGGGAAUGCAGUCCAAAAUGGGUGGUAAAUUUCAUCUAAAGCUAAAUAUUGGCGAGAGACCGAUAGCGAACAAGUACCGUGAGGGAAAGAUGAAAAGAACUUUGAAAAGAGAGUUAAACAGUACGUGAAAUUGUCAAAAGGGAAGCGUUUGACACCAGUGUUGUUUUUCCGAAAAUCAAUUAAGAGUGGCUUGAUUUUGUGUUGUAUUGACCUCAUCAGCUUUCUUCACUCUUUUCCGAGUCUUUCUUAAUGCACUUUUCGGUUAACAAGUCAACAUCAAUUUCUUUUGUUGUAAAAGGGUAUUUGGAAGGUGGCUUUCUUUUCGGAGAAAGUGUUUAUAGCCUUAUACCUCUACAAUCGGAGAGAUUGAGGUCCUGCAGCGUAGAUCCUUCGGGGCUAGAUACACUUGUGCUAAGUUAUAGCCCUGUAUAGACAACUUGUUGACUAUACUCGUCAUGUAGCUUACUCGCUUGUGCUAUUUUACCUACGCUUAGGAUGUUGAGUCAUCACACAUCUCU